ACCCGCUGAACUUAAGCAUAUCAAUAAGCGGAGGAAAAGAAACCAACAGGGAUUACCUCAGUAACGGCGAGUGAAGCGGUAACAGCUCAAAUUUGAAAUCUGGCUCCUUUGGGGCCCGAGUUGUAAUUUGUAGAAGAUGCUUUGGGUGUGGGCCUGGCCUAAGUUCCUUGGAACAGGACGUCGUAGAGGGUGAGAAUCCCGUAUGCGGCUGGCGCCCGCGCCCGUGUAAAGCUCUUUCGACGAGUCGAGUUGUUUGGGAAUGCAGCUCUAAAUGGGUGGUAAAUUUCAUCUAAAGCUAAAUAUUGGCCAGAGACCGAUAGCGCACAAGUAGAGUGAUCGAAAGAUGAAAAGCACUUUGGAAAGAGAGUUAAACAGUACGUGAAAUUGUUGAAAGGGAAGCGCUGGCAACCAGACUUGGGCGCUGUUGAUCCGUUAGGGUUCUCCCUGGGGUACUCAGCAGCGCGCAGGCCAGCAUCGGUUUGGGGGGUUGGAGAAAGGCUGGUGGAAUGUGGCUGCCUUCGGGCAGUGUUAUAGCCACCGGUGGCAUGCAGCCUCCCCGGACCGAGGACCGCGCUUCGGCUAGGAUGCUGGCGUAAUGGUUGUUAGCGACCCGUCUUGAAACACGGACCAAGG
rnacentral:rRNA from 1 species